CAACAUAUAUCCUUUUAUUUUAUCGUGCUUUUUUGCCUGGUAUCAUUAUGUUCAACUAAAACACCAAAGGGUCCCUCAUGUAAUUCGUCCCAGUCUAUCUCAGUAACAAAACUCAAGAAUCGUUAUGUGUUUGUAAAUACGACUGGCUUUCUGCCGAGAAAGGCCAAACUUGGUCACCACAGCGGUAGUCACUCAGGGAACAGAUGGUGUCCGUGGACGUGG